rnacentral:rRNA from 1 species
AGCGGCGAACGGGUGAGUAACACGUGAGUAAUCUGCCCCUGGCUUCGGGAUAGCCACCGGAAACGGUGAUUAAUACCGGAUAUGACAUUCCCUCGCAUGGGGGUGUGUGGAAAGUUUUUCGGCCAGGGAUGUGCUCGCGGCCUAUCAGCUUGAUGGUGAGGUAAUGGCUCACCAUGGCUUCGACGGGUAGCCGGCCUGAGAGGGUGACCGGUCACACUGGGACUGAGACACGGCCCAGACUCCUACGGGAGGCAGCAGUGGGGAAUAUUGGACAAUGGGCGGAAGCCUGAUCCAGCAACGCCGCGUGAGGGAUGACGGCCUUCGGGUUGUAAACCUCUUUCAGUACCGACGAAGCGCAAGUGACGGUAGGUACAGAAGAAGCACCGGCCAACUACGUGCCAGCAGCCGCGGUAAUACGUAGGGUGCGAGCGUUGUCCGGAAUUAUUGGGCGUAAAGGGCUCGUAGGCGGUUUGUCGCGUCGGGAGUGAAAACGCCGUGCUUAACACGGCGCUUGCUUUCGAUACGGGCAGACUAGAGGUAUUCAGGGGAGAACGGAAUUCCUGGUGUAGCGGUGAAAUGCGCAGAUAUCAGGAGGAACACCGGUGGCGAAGGCGGUUCUC